rnacentral:rRNA from 1 species
ACUCUUUCGGAGUGAGAGCGUACACAGGUGCUGCAUGGCUGUCGUCAGCUCGUGUCGUGAGAUGUUGGGUUAAGUCCCGCAACGAGCGCAACCCUGCAUUCAGUUGCCAUCGGUAAGGCCGGGCACUCUGGAUGGACUGCCGGCGACAAGCCGGAGGAAGUGGGGACGACGUCAAGUCAUCAUGGCCCUUAUGUCCAGGGCGACACACGUGCUACAAUGGCCGGCACAACGGGAAGCGAAGGGGCGACCCUGAGCGGAUCCCACAAAAGCCGGUCUCAGUUCGGAUUGCAGUCUGCAACUCGACUGCAUGAAGUUGGAAUCGCUAGUAAUCGUGGAUCAGCCAAGCCGCGGUGAAUACGUUCCCGGGCCUU